rnacentral:lncRNA from 1 species
UAUCUUCUAUAAAUUUGUCCGAAAAUAUCUAAAGAAAAAGAAAAAUAAUAAAAAGAGGAAAAGGAAAGUGAAUUGUCAAUUGUCAUCUUCAUCUUUGCUGUAAUCUUCCCUCCAAUUCUGAAAAUGGCGAUGUAAGUAGCUUUCUUAUUGUUAAUCAAGCUCAAAUCGAGAAAUGCAUGAUGAAUUUUGGGCAUUUUCAUCUAAGGUGUUAAAAAUCUCACCAACACCAUGAAAUUGUCCCAAUCGAAGACUUCAACUCAUAUAGCUUCCAAUCCGAACUUAUUACAACAAGAUAAGUUUUCUUACUUUUACCCCUAAUUUAUUUCUCAGUUAACAUCAAAUCUCAUCAAUUUCAUCUCUCCGACAGAUUGAGCUUAACUAAAAGUCGAUACCACUGCCUAAGAAGAAACCAUUUAAUGAUUAUUUGACCUUAAUCAGAAACUUGAGCUCCGUAGAUCUUAUUGAGGUAAUUUUGCUUUUAAUUGAAACUACCAUUGUAGUCUGUAGAUGAUAAUUGUUGUUGUUGAUUGUGUCUGAACACAUCUACAUCUUGUGCUAUGAAAUUUGUUAUUCGCAGAUCAUUAACUUUUUCUUGUACCUCGUAACAGAAGCGAACCCAGGAUUUGAAGUCUUUGGGUGCAUCGGUAUUGUCAAUGGCGCGCAUAAGCCUCAAAGCAAGACUCAAAAUGUGUUAAGCACUCGUAUCACUUAAUAUGCAACUUAGGUUCUAAUUUCUAAUAUAUACUGUCCUUGUCAUGAGGUUUUCUUAAAAGACGACUAUUUCACUUUAUCAAAAAAAUAAAAAUUCAUAUAUUUGUCAUAAUCUUGGACUAGACAUAUAUUUAUAUUUUUUUCUCUUUUUGCUUUUUUUUUGGUUAAAUUUCACGUUUUAUUUAUACUUUGUGCUUAAACACAAUAGACCGUGAAGUUUUUUUUACGCUUGUUGCUUUUGAUAAUACUGUGGAGCCCAAUAUUAUCUUAAGACAUUAGAAAAAUUUUCAGUGUCGAUUAAGAAAUAUUAUCAUAUUCAAUUGAUCGUCAAAGAUAUAAACAAUACUGAAAAAAUAAAUAUAUAGAACAAGUAUGAGUUCUAAGCUAAUAGCUUUACUUUCUUAUAAUAUGAGGUUUAUUUUUAAGAUGGUUAGAUAAUUAUUUGUAGUAGCUCAAUGGUCAAAAGGGAUUCACUUCAUGGGAUGGUUGCAGAUUCGAAUCCUCAUUCCAACAUUUUAAUGUUAUAAAUUUAGUAAUAGAAAAAAUAUUAUGCUACCAGGGAUUGGUCGCAUGGACGAAAGCAUUGGCUUUAACCAAUGCAUCAAUGGACGGAAGCAUUGGCUUCAACCAUCUCAUCAAGGUGCACUAGCAUUCAACUUAAUGUAGUAGUAAGCCUUUAAUCUGAAGAUUGAAAAUAAAAGAGAAAAUGUUGCGCGAUCCCGGGAUCGAUCCCUGGUCACGUGGAAGGAUAUGAUGUCUUCAGCCAGCGCGGGAAGGUGUACUAGCAUUCAUUUGGGGUGCAUUAUUAACUAUAUCUCAAUUUCUGAAAGUAUAUACACAUGUAUACAUAUAAUUUUUUUUGACGUUAACAGGUGCACGUGCACCCCCACUAAUAGCUGUGGGUCCGCAUCUGCAAUCACAGAUCUAAAGAUGUUUUGUCUGAGAAUAGAGCUCAGACCAAAGAGAUAUAUAAAUUGGCCAAAUGCUACAUCUAUUUGAUGCUUUAACACUAGUAUUAUAAUAAGAUUAAAGGGUUCAUUACGGAUUAAGUCUAAACAGUAGAAAUUAAUGCAUAUUAACUGGUGGUUGUUUUGUUGCAAAACAAUAGGAAUUGUUCUGAUGUUUCAUCCACCUCUUUUCCAUCCAUUUCAAUCUCAUUGUUCACACUCAUAAGAUUUAUAGGGCUUUAUUUUUUUGUAGAUCCUACGCAUUUGAUUGACACUCAUCAGUUAUUUUUUUCAACUUUUAUAAUCCAUUUUCCUUCAAAAACAAAAAAAGGCCCAAGGAAACCCCAAGCUCAUAAUGACAUUUAUUUACCCUGUGAUUAUAGUGACUUCUCCAGAAGCAGAGGCGAACCCAGGAUUUGAAAUUUAUGGGUUCACCGGUGUUGUCAAUGACGCGUAUAAUCCUCAAAGCAAGACUCAAAAUGUGUUAAGCGCUCGUCUCACUUAAUGUGCAACUUAGGUUCUAAUUUCUAAUACAUACUUGCCCUUGUCAGUUAAUGAGACUUUCUUAAGAGACGACUAUUUCACUUUAUCAAAAACAAAAAAAAUUUCAUAUAUUUGUCAUUCAUGCUUAUAUUAUUAGUCUUAGACUAGACAUAUAUUUAUAUUUUUUCUCUUUUAGCCUUUUUUGGUUAAAUCUCACGUUUUAUUUGUACUUGGUGCUUAAACACAAUAGACCGUGAAGAUUUUUUGUGCUUGUUGCUUUUGAUAAUACUGUGGAGCCCAAUAUUAUCUUAAGAUAUUAGAAAAACUUUCAGUGCCGAUUAAGAAAUAUUAUCAUAUUCAAUUAGUCGUCAAAGAUAUAAACAAUAUUGAAAAAAUAAAUAUAUAGAACAAGUAUGAGUUCUAAGAUAAUAAUUUUACUUUCUUAUAAUAUGAGGUUUAUUUUUAAGAUAGUUGGAUAAUCAUUUGUAGUAGCUCAAUGGUCAAAGGGAAUAAGCCUUUAAUUUGAAGAUUGAAAAUAAAAGAGAAAAUGUUGCACAAUUCAGGGAUCGAUCCCUGUUCGCGUGGAUGGAUGUAAUGUCUUCAGCCAGCGCGGAAAGAUGUACUAGCAUUCAUUUGGGGGUGCACUAUUAACUAUAUCUCAAUUUCUGAAGGUAUAUACACAUGUAUACGUAUAAUUUUUUUCGACGUUAAUGGGUGCACGUCCACCCCCACUAAUAGCUGUGGGUCCGCCUCUGCCUUGUAAGAGACUAAAAACCUUGAUUUGUGUACUGCAUGUUUGAUUGUUGGAUGUCGUAGCAUUGUUGUUGUUUAGACAGGACCAAAAUCCAUAUUUUGCAUCUUUCUAAUUCUUAAACUUGGAAGUUGUUCCUUGUCCAUAUUCAACAAGAUCUUUGCUUUAGUUGAUAAUUGUUGAUAAUUGAAAAAUAAUAAUUGUUAGUACCUGCAAAAGCAAAGACACAGUUAACUAAAAAAUCGGCAAGCUGAUUACCUUGUCUGUAAAUGUGUUGGACCACCACCUUUCUUCCCUUUAUUAGAUUUUGAAUCCUCCUUAUUUCAUUAGAAAUACCCCAUGGAAUCUCCCACUGAUUUGUAACAAAUUUAUGAACAGCCAAAGAAUCAGUUUCGAAGCAUAAAGACAUCAAAUUAUGCUUAAUACAAUAUUCCAAUCUCAAUCGUAAUGCCAAAGCUUCAGCCACUAAAUUGAUUUCAUUAGGAAUUCUUCUAAUUUUAGCAUGAAUUAACUCUCCACUGUGAUUCCUAACACAAAAAGCUUCUAAACUUGGGUCAGGAUUGCCCUUCACAUCAGCAUCGAAAUUACAUUUGUACUGAUUUAUAUUAGGAAAAUUCCACUUCACCACAACACUUCUCAGGGUAGGCCUAUAUUCUGAUAAAAAACUCACUAAAUCCAUCCAAGAAUCUGGUAUGUUUUUAAGCCAAAGAAAUAGACAUUUAGCUAGAUAUACUAGAUUUCUAGUUAUUUCCAACCUCAUACUCUAAAGAGAUCUUUUACUACCAUGUUUAAUACAGUUUCUUCUUUUUCAAAUUUGUCAAAGUAUAAACAUUGGUACAGCUCUGAAAAUAGGCUUCAAUUUAGGUACAUUAGAUGCAUUCCAUCAGUUUAGCACACUGUCUUUAGGAAUGGCAAUAGGGAGGUGUGGUGCGGGUAUUUUCAUAACCCGCGAAUCUGAUAACCGCACCGUACCACAUUUUUUUAAACCCGCAUAAAUUCGCUCCACACAAUACCCGUGCAAACCCGCACCGCACCAUAUUUUUUUAACUCUCAUAUUUAUUGAAAUCAAUUGAUUUUCCUUGUUUCGCAUUUUACUGAUCCAACUGCAGUUAGUAAGUCAAUGUUGUCAAUAUUUUCUUAUACGUGUGUAUAUCUGUCUGUAAUGGUAAAUGUAAUUUAUAGAUAUCGUCAUACUUCAUCAAAAUUUAUAGAUAUAUUCUGAUAUUUAUAUCGUAUUGCUGAAAAGGAACCCAAAUAUACAAAUAUAAUCUUAACUGUAAUGACUAAUGAUACAUCACUGCAUGUUGCUCUAGAGUUUUUUACUAUGUCUUGGUCGUGUGCCUGUAGCUAUAAAUUAGCAACAGAUGUGAUUGUUUUUUACUUUAAACAGAUUGAAAAAAUCAUGUACUCUCUCCGUCUCAUAUUAUGUAAAAAAAUGGCACAUAAAAUGGAACGGAAUAUAUAUAAUUUUAGGUAUAUUCACGUGAAUAAUACUAAUUUUUAGUUUUUUAUAAUUUAAACUUGCAUAUACCCGCAACCCACACCGCACCGCACCAUUUAAAAAAUACUCUUACUUUAACUCGCCCCGUACCCGCACCACACUGCAUAACUUAAAACUCGCACCGCAUAGCUUAAAACCCGCACCGCACCCACACCGCCCCAUUGCCAUCCCUAAUUUUCAUCUUCAUCUUUGCUGUAAUCUUCCCUCCAAUUCAGAAAAUGGCGAUAUAAGUAGCUUUCUUAUUGUUAAUCAAGCUCAAAUUAAGAAAUGCAUGAUGAAUUUUAGGCAUUUUCAUCUAAGGUGUUAAAAAUCUCACUAACACCAUGAAAUUAUCUCAAUCGAAUACUUCAACUCAUAUAGCUUCCAAUCCGAACUUAUUACAACAAGAUAAGUUUUAUUACUUUUACCCCUAAUUUAUUUCUCAGUUAACAUCAAAUUCUCAUCAAUUUCAUCUCUCUGACAG